rnacentral:rRNA from 1 species
GAGUUUGAUCCUGGCUCAGAUUGAACGCUGGCGGCAUGCCUUACACAUGCAAGUCGAACGGCAGCAUGAUCUAGCUUGCUAGAUUGAUGGCGAGUGGCGAACGGGUGAGUAAUACAUCGGGACGUGCCCUGUAGUGGGGGAUAACUAGUCGAAAGAUUAGCUAAUACCGCAUACGACCUGAGGGUGAAAGUGGGGGACCGCAAGGCCUCAUGCUAUAGGAGCGGCCGAUGUCUGAUUAGCUAGUUGGUGGGGUAAAGGCCCGACCAAGGCGACGAUCAGUAGCUGGUCUGAGAGGACGAUCAGCCACACUGGGACUGAGACACGGCCCAGACUCCUACGGGAGGCAGCAGUGGGGAA